GGGGAGCGAACAGGAUUAGAUACCCUGGUAGUCCAUGCCGUAAACGUUGGGCGCUAGAUGUAGGGACCUUUCCACGGUUUCUGUGUCGUAGCUAACGCAUUAAGCGCCCCGCCUGGGGAGUACGGCCGCAAGGCUAAAACUCAAAGGAAUUGACGGGGGCCCGCACAAGCGGCGGAGCAUGCGGAUUAAUUCGAUGCAACGCGAAGAACCUUACCAAGGCUUGACAUACACCGGAAACGGCCAGAGAUGGUCGCCCCCUUGUGGUCGGUGUACAGGUGGUGCAUGGUUGUCGUCAGCUCGUGUCGUGAGAUGUUGGGUUAAGUCCCGCAACGAGCGCAACCCUCGUUCUAUGUUGCCAGCGGGUUAUGCCGGGGACUCAUAGGAGACUGCCGGGGUCAACUCGGAGGAAGGUGGGGAUGACGUCAAAUCAUCAUGCCCCUUAUGUCUUGGGCUUCACGCAUGCUACAAUGGCCGGUACAAAGGGCUGCGAUACCGUAAGGUGGAGCGAAUCCCAAAAAGCCGGUCUCAGUUCGGAUUGAGGUCUGCAACUCGACCUCAUGAAGUCGGAGUCGCUAGUAAUCGCAGAUCAGCAACGCUGCGGUGAAUACGUUCCCGGGCCUUGUACACACCGCCCGUCAAGUCAUGAAAGUCGGUAACACCCGAAGCCGGU
rnacentral:rRNA from 1 species